CAGCAGCGCGGUAAAACGAAGGGUGCAAGCGUUACUCGGAAUUACUGGGCGUAAAGCGUGCGUAGGUGGUGGUUUAAGUCCGUUGUGAAGGCCCUGGGCUCAACCUGGGAAUUGCAGUGGAUACUGGAUCACUAGAGUGUGGUAGAGGAUAGUGGAAUUUCCGGUGUAGCAGUGAAAUGCGUAGAGAUCGGAAGGAACAUCUGUGGCGAAGGCGACUAUCUGGGCCAACACUGACACUGAGGCACGAAAGCGUGGGGAGCAAACAGGAUUAGAUACCCCCGUAGUCCCUGUCUCUUAUACC
rnacentral:rRNA from 1 species